rnacentral:rRNA from 1 species
CUUGGUCAUUUAGAGGAAGUAAAAGUCGUAACAAGGUUUCCGUAGGUGAACCUGCGGAAGGAUCAUUACUGUGAUUUACUACUACACUGCGUGAGCGGAACGAAAACAACAACACCUAAAAUGUGGAAUAUAGCAUAUAGUCGACAAGAGAAAUCUACGAAAAACAAACAAAACUUUCAACAACGGAUCUCUUGGUUCUCGCAUCGAUGAAGAGCGCAGCGAAAUGCGAUACCUAGUGUGAAUUGCAGCCAUCGUGAAUCAUCGAGUUCUUGAACGCACAUUGCGCCCCUCGGCAUUCCGGGGGGCAUGCCUGUUUGAGCGUCGUUUCCAUCUUGUGCGUGCGCAGAGUUGGGGGAGCGGAGCGGACGACGUGUAAAGAGCGUCGGAGCUGCGACUCGCCUGAAAGGGAGCGAAGCUGGCCGAGCGAACUAGACUUUUUUCAGGGACGCUUGGCGGCCGAGAGCGAGUGUUGCGAGACAACAAAAAGCUCGACCUCAAAUCAGGUAGGAAUACCCGCUGAACUUAAGCAUAUCAAUAAGCGGAGGAA